rnacentral:sRNA from 1 species
AAUUAGUGAUGAAGCACCAGAAACCUUCAGGGAGAAAACACCCCAUUAUUUUUUAAGUUACAGUGUAUUUACAACCCAUUUCCACCUGCUUCCUUUGUCUCCACCUGUCUCUGCUGUAUACAGAUUCAUCUCAGCCAGCCCCUCAGGAAUACAGCUGUGUCAUCACAUCCUGUGGCAUCCUAAUAUUUCAUACUAAGCCGUAAACCAAUUAGGAAUGACUACUCCCUCUGCUGACUCAUGGGAAGAGAAGGGGAUAAUGUGUCCUUCAGAUGCUGAAGAAUCUGAGCUCUGAUGUGCAGGGGGAAGUACAACUGCAAAGCAUGCAUUGCUCAAGACAGCAUGUCUAUCAUCGUUCCUGUCACCGUGAGAAGAUGUCCGAUGGAAGCAACCUCAGGAGGAAGAGCUAUUUUGGCUCACGGUUUUGGAGGAUAUGAAGUCCAUCACAGUUGAGAAGACACGGAGGAUGGUCAGUGAUGUGUCCUGGAACACUGUAAGACGGAGAGAACAUACAGAAGACAGAGCUUCCUAUUUGGAGGUGGAAUGAAGGUAAACAGGAUUAAGUUGUUUUUCAGGUUCUGGAAUCAUCUUGCAAGAAAGAGGAGACAAGUCCAAGUCACCGUGAUGGUACAAGACAAACACAGCUCAACCGGGGCAGGCUUAAAGGAUGUGGACACUAAGUGCUAUCCAUCAGCAGUUAGAAACGUUGAGGACAUAGAGACGGAGAAGUGAAAUUGCUGGCUUCAUGUCUGGUGCUCAGUGUCUGGUGAGGAACAUCUUUACCAGUGGAUUCUGUCCCUCGCUGAAACGCCUCCCAGUAUCUCAUUAGGUGUUGUUUUAAGUUGGGGCUGACCACAGGAAAAAUUCAGAGAUUUGGAAGGUGGACAUAGAGGCAUUCGCCCCUUUAAAGGGUUACAGGCUCUUACCAUGUGGGCCAGGCUGACCUCAAACUCAUGCUGAUCAUUCUGCCUUAGCCUCUCAACUUCUGGGAUUAUAGGCACGAGUCACAGUGCCUAGCUACAGCAGCCGGUUCUAUGUCCCUAAGAUUGGGCCAGGGAAAGGCCAGACAUACCUGUCAUUCUCCUGUGUGUUGCUCUGUGGCCGGGGUUGCCAGCCUUUCCUGUCACACUGUGCUUUAAAUGAUGUGAGAGAAAAGUGUAGGGCUGAGGUUUGCAUUUGGAGGCCGCCAUUUAUACCUCCUUCCCAGCUUCCUGCCCAGGUGAGUGCAAAGGCAAUGGCUUUGCCUAUGCCCUCCCUCCCUUCCCCAAGUCUAUAUCUUAACACAACAUCCUAUUUAUAGAGUUCCUGCAUCUUGCUUCUAACAUGGACUGAUAUUCUGACUCUAUAACUGGAUGGCUAUAUGACGAUAGAUGCUGGAUGGACAACUGGGAAUAUUACAACUAUUAUUGUUUGGGGAGCUUCUGUGUUCUUGCAAGUGCUUGCUCUCAUUUUGGUUUUGGGCUCCAGGAAAAGCAAAUAGUAGUGGAGGCUGCUGAAAUUAAAAUGAUGCCGAAGAAAUGAAAUAUGGCUGCUUAUCUUUUCUUUCCUGAAAUUGCCUUGAUGUGCAUCCGUGUGAGUCAAUGCAGUCACCACCUGUCUCUUAUGCGAACCCUUGAAAAGUGAAGAUGGGGUCAUCCUGCUCUUUCCC